rnacentral:rRNA from 1 species
ACUCCUACGGGAGGCAGCAGUGGGGAAUAUUGCACAAUGGGCGAAACCCUGAUGCAGCCAUGCCGCGUGUGUGAAGAAGGCCUUCGGGUUGUAAAGCACUUUCAGUAGGGAGGAAGGUAGUGUAGUUAACACCUGCAUUAUUUGACGUUACCUACAGAAGAAGCACCGGCUAACUCCGUGCCAGCAGCCGCGGUAAUACGGAGGGUGCGAGCGUUAAUCGGAAUUACUGGGCGUAAAGCGCAUGCAGGCGGCCUGUUAAGUCAGAUGUGAAAGCCCGGGGCUUAACCUCGGAAUUGCAUUUGAAACUGGCAGGCUAGAGUCUUGUAGAGGGGGGUAGAAUUUCAGGUGUAGCGGUGAAAUGCGUAGAGAUCUGAAGGAUACCAGUGGCGAAGGCGGCCCCCUGGACAAAGACUGACGCUCAGAUGCGAAAGCGUGGGGAGCAAACAGGAUUAGAUACCCUGGUAGCACAGAG